GCCCUGGUGGCUCAGUGGUUAAACACUUGGCUGCUAACCAAAAUAUUGGUGGUUCAAACCCACCCAGUGGUG
rnacentral:tRNA from 1 species